UGGUAAACCCAGUUCUCUGGAAGAAAUAAAAUCUGUGGCAUAGCUCUGAAAUGAGAAUUAACCUUGAUUACUACAGUAAUUUACUAAUCAAAACUGGAGACCUGCUAAUCAAGCCUGAAUUACCAGCUGCUUGAUUUUUAUAGUGACAUAACCAAAAUUGAACAUUUGGUAAACAAGAGUCUUAUUUAUGAGGGGGGGGGGAAAUUGGCAUAUGGCCAUAUUCAUUUUAAUAUAUUUAUCACUAUAUUGUUGUGAUUUCCUCAUCAGCUGAUGUAGGCAUAACUUCAGCCAUCCACCUCACCCUGGAAAGACGAACAUUUAAUUUUAGGUUAUCCUAGAAUCGGAGUCAGAGUAGACUAUUUCACAUUUUAAGGGGUUUUCUGAUCUACCUGUUGUUUUUGGACCCCGGGAGGAGAACGACUGAUGCAUCACAACAGCCUUGUGUUGUAGAGCUGGUUAGAAAAGCACCUUGGAAUAAAAGGAGCAGAAAACUGGAAACAGAAACAAGAGAAAUGGAGAAGUGCCAGCGAGCAGACAGCUGGGAAAAGCUGCAGGAGGAGAUGGCAAAGAGCAUCCAUGGUGAGCCCAGGGCCAAGGGGGAGCAGGAGGCUCUGGAGAGGCAGGAGAGAGGGAGAGGACCCAGGGGAAAUGGUGGGAGUGAAUCACCAAGGGCCUGAUGGAGGAAGGCACUGACGGCUCCUGCGAGUAAGUGCAUCGCUUGUGCAAAUGGACAAUGUGCCAAUUAUUGCAGCCUAUCUGAUGGGUCUGGGAUUUUUUAAAGUAGUUGUCUGGUUUCCAUAAGUGCAACUAAUUUCAUGUUUUUAAUCAUUUCUUUUCGGUCUGAUUUCUGUUCAUUUUUUCCAGCUCCCAGAUGGCAUCCUGUAUCCACUGACACAGAAAAUAAUUUCCCAGUAUUUUCUUUAAUGAAUGACCUAUUAUGAACAAGCAGGGAAAACCCAUAUUGUGCAAUUCUUCCAUAGAAUAACCGAUCAUUAAUAUAAAUUGAGAGAAGACCCCAAAAUGGGAUUUUUGUUGUUGUUGUUUGAGCUGUGUACAGUAUUUUAUUAAGGUGGCUUGUGUGUUUUUUUAAAAUGUCUUGUUCAAAUGAUAUUGUCAUGGGUAACUGUGCUGUUAAAAAGAGGUAAAGAACAGAAACACAAAAAAGAUUAUUCCUAGAAUAAUGUGUACAGCAUGAAAUUCUCAGCUAGUCAGGCUCUUCCUCAUUCUCUGCACUUUACUUUAGACCUAAUCCCUCAUUCUCUCAAUUCUUAGCAUAGAAAAUAUAUACCAAAGCUAGUGCUGCUUCCAUUUUUUCACCAUCUUAUCUCACAAACCUGAAAUACUGUUUUUUCCUUUAAGUCUUGAAUGUACUUAUACCUAACAGGAAUGAAGGAGCACAGGGAUGAAUUGAAACGAGUGAAUGGUUUAUAGCCUAUUUAAACCUUGGGAAACACGUGUGUGUAGUGACUGUAUGUUUGGACACAACCCUGCAAAGCUGCAAGGGGCCACAGCUCAGCAAGUGCAGCCCAAAUUAGAGCAGCAAACUUACCUGCUGGGAUCCAUGGGCAGGCUUCAGAGGGGUUUUAAGCAUCAGGAAAAUGUGACCAACUGCAAGGUAAACCAGAGUGCUGUUCCUAAUAUUGUGUACUCUUGGCAGGAGGGGCAUCCAUGAGGUUAAAGAGUCCAGAUUUUAGGGAUGCAUGCUGUAAGUGCACUCAGAAGGCAAUGACUUAGAAUAUUUGGAAGGCUAAGGAAAUAAGAGUGAAAUAAGUGGCUUAGAGUUUAUCAGGGGGGAUAUUUCCCCCAACAACUGGAAUAGGGCUCAGCUCCACUCCAGUUCACAUCCCUGCUUCCCCCUAGAGCCACAUCUGUGCACCCAGAAACUUUCCUCAGUAUUGGCUUACUUAUUUAGGAUGACUUUUACCCACCAUCAAAACUUCAGAAGCCCAACAUAUCCACCUGGAAAUUUGGACUGUUUCAAACUGCACUGGAAGAUAACAGGAGCUCCACAGAGACAAGGAGCAUAUGAAGUCACUGAGGAAGGAGUACUUGCAAGGAGGGAGUGAUUGCUAGGGAGGAAGGCCAGAGAAAAAGUGGAAAACAACAACAGAAGUAGUGGCAGAAAAACUGGGAAGAGGGAGCAAAAAUGGUAAAGUGACACCAUAAUGCUUUACUGUCUCUGAAGCAAGGGAAAAUUGUGAAAGCAUUCAUUUAUUCAUUUUCAGCCAAAGAAAAAAACUAGGGCAUAAAAAGAGGAGGCAAAAAGAAAGAACAGAAAGUAGAACAUGUGAAGGAAAAGGGCAGCAAAGAAAGAGGAAAUUCAGAGAAAGGAGAAACAAGUGCUGGAAGUAAAGGAGUAGAUGGUGGGGGAGGAGGCAGCACAAAGAGAUUCGACAUACAGGGCUUUUAGGUAAGUGAAUUUUAUUUGUAUAUGUCAUUUCCUACUUUUUAUUGCAUUUCUUUGGCAACCAUCCCACAGUUCCAUAACCUAUGGGUGGGUGGGAGGAGGUGGCUAAGAGGGCAAAAUGGUAGUUUUUGGCAGAAUAUUGACAUGACUUGAGUCAGGUCAUUACUUGUGGUUGUCAUUAGACAAAUAGUGAAACUGGGUUAAUGGGGCAGGUGUUUAUGAAUCCUACAGGCUAGAGGAAGCUCAGCUUUCAAAACCUGACUCACAUAGAAAGGGAGAGGCCCAAAUGAUUCAAUGCAGUGAAAGCAAUGGUGAGCAGUGAUUUCAGUGCUGCAGGGGCCACAGGGACACAUUUCAGAUUUACGAGAUGGUUCCCGACUGUCAGAUGUGCUUCAGCCUCCCAGCAGACCUUGGGAGGUGGACACUGAAUAGGUUUCUGUAUUGUUAACUUCCUUCUUUGCAACCAUCAGAUGGAAAUAUUUUUUGUAGUGCAAAAUGAGAUCCUGAAGCACAGGUAUAUGGCAAAAUAUGACUUUCAUGGAAAAUGUUCUGAACUCCAUCUUUUCUGGGUACCUUGGUUUAUUUUUGCCCUCUGUUUGACUCUUUACAGGCUUUUUUUCCUAAUUAUCUUGAAUUUUAAGUGGAAGCAUUUCUCAAACAUGCAGUAUCAAAUGAAAUGAGUUAGGAUUUUUGAAGACUUUAGAACUCAUGCAGAAGCUGCCAUCCUGAGUCAGACAAAAUGUCCAUGUAGACCAUUGCUUUCCCUCUGAGAGUGAGAGGAGCAAAUGUCUAGGGAAAAACUGUAUGAACUCUGAUAUAUCACUCAUAUAGAGCAAUCCUUCUUCCCCUGUGUGCUCCUGCCCUCCGAGGAUCAGUGUCAGAGACAUUUUGAUUUGGAGGCUGGAUCUUGAUCAUCAUGUUUAGUAGCUGGUGAUGGAUUUCGUUUGCAUGAUUUCAUGUAAUCCCUUUUAUGGUCCAUUUACACUUUUGACCUCCACACCAUCCUGUGGCCAUGAGUUCUGUAAUUUCAUUAUGCGCUGUGAGGAUAAAAUACUUCUUUUGUUUGUUUUAAGACUGAUGCCUGGUCAUUUAAUUGGGGCUCCUAGUCCUUGUAUUUGUGGCAACUGUUGAAUAAUGGCUCUAUAUGUUAGAAAUUAGGUUUUUGAAAUAGAAAAUCUCUCUUGCAAUUUUAAAGCCUUAUGAUCAGGCAAGCUCUUCCUCUUGUGAAUCUUGCCAUGAAAAAAGGAAAAAUUCCCAACUCCAACUGCAGUCUGAUGAAGUUAGAAUUAAUUAAAGCAAAAAUAGCUUUAUAGUGUUCAUACUGCACAGAUAAGUAGCCUUAAAAUUGUAUGUCCUAUAUGGUUCAUGUCUUAUGUCACAUCACAGUGCUCUUAUCAGUUCCAUAAUAUAUGAAAUAAUCCAUUUGUAAUGCCAUGAUCUGUGGCACAACUAUUAAGUCAUAAGUGUAGCAAUGGGAGAGUGUGUUCACUGAGUUCUCUGCAACAGCAAGAAGGGGAAAGGCCUGGAAAGUCAAUUCAAAAGCUAGGGCUAGACUUUGAACAAGUCACCUGAGCAUGGACAGACAGCAAUGUACAGUGGGGUGGACUAGGGUGUGAACUCAGAGCCUCUCAGAAGCUUUGGUAAUUUCCAUUUUCACAUGCCAGCUCCCUGGUACCUGAGGUAAAUGUGAUUGUUUCUUUUCCACCUGCACCCAGGCUGUGUUCUGCUUGGUGCUGGGUGAGAGCCUGUGUGGGGUGCUCUCUGUGGGGUGGCUGACAGGGCUGUGCUGUGCACCCUGCUUUGGCCUGUGGUGAUUUGCCUGUACACCUCCACCCUUGGUUCCUUGGCCUCUGUGGUCCCUGGCCAGGUAGAGAAGGAGCCAGUAACUGUGUGGACUUGUCUGGCACAGCAACAGGAGAGCUGAGCCUGAGGGAGCUGGAGAGCCAUCCAGUAUGCAGGAAGCAGUGUGGAAGGAUCUGUGCUUUUCCCCAGUCUCCCAUAUUUCACCCUGUGCAGGCAGGAGCAGGAAAGAGAGACGGUGUGAGGCAGUGUUUCCAUCUUCCUACAGCUGGUAGUUAUCCAGCAUCCUCUCUGCAGCAUCUUCCAGUUCUGUGUUAUUGUGUAUCAUUCCAGUCAGAUUGCUUCAGAGAGAGACAAAGAACAGAUUUCAGGAUAAAAUCAAAACUGCUCCAGAAAUGCACUGUGUGUGGCAGUAUUUGGAGCAGUGGUGAGAGGUUAAAAAAAGAGUUUGACCCUAACCCAAGAAUCAAAUUUAAUGUCAGAGAAUUUAAUGCAACACAAGGUGUGGUGGAACAAAGACUGUUGGGGGGUCUCGUUUAUAUUCAGUUAUGAUGAGCGAUAUUCAGCACUUAAAAAGAAAAACAGUGCAAUGGCUUUCACUGAAUUGUACGAAGAAACAGGAUAACUUUAACAAAUAUCACAAAACAUGUCACAAAUCAAUUGUAUUGAAAAUAUAUUGGGUUUCUUUAAAAGAAAAAAUCAGAAAAGGAAGCAGCACAAGCAGGAGGAGAGACAGCACACAAAGAUUUACUUCUGAGUGCUACAAAAUAUUGAACUAAAAAUAACAUUAAAGAUGAAAUUUGCAAUGAAUCUCAAGCUGCUAAAUUCCCAAAGGCUGGGUCUGCCAAAGGCUCUGUUGGUUUCCUCUGUUCUUUUCUGUCUUUAUUUAAAUAUUUUAUACAGUUGUCUAUGUUCAUGUGUAGCGCGAACUGUCAUUUAUAUUUCAGUCCACUCUAAAAUGGAUCUUAGACUAUCUCAAGCUGUGCGCUGCAGAGAGUAGUUUUGAACUGAGAGGAAGAGCGAUGAACAUGUAUCAGAAGAGAAAAUCAGCUGCUGCUUGGUGCCUUGUCCUUGUUCUCCCCUCUCAUUUGCUGAUGGCUGAUAACACCUUAUCUCCACCAGGGAAGCAACUGGGAAGUUUGCUCCUUCCUCACAAGACUGAGGGUAUAAUUAGAACCACGCACCUGCUCAGUCCUCCAGUGACUCAAGCCUGGAAUCUCCUGUGUUAGAACACUUCACUGCUCCCAGAAGGCCCUGUAAGAUCCCAGGGAGGCAGCAGCCAACAGAGGAUAUUCACUAAAGACCAAGCAGCAGAGAAGCACUUCGGUAUUCCCUGAAGACAGCAGAAAUGAGAGGAAAUGUCCACUAAGAAUAAGUCUCCCGUGAAAUGUUACAUGUACUCGGCAAACUCCUGAACCCACUGCUGCCACGGAAAACUCUCACUGAUGGGUAGCUCCGAGAACUCACCCUCCAAUUAUGUACCACAGAGCUAUGGAUGUGUUUUUAUUGAGGAGAAUAAAAACCACAAGAAGCGCUCUACAACAGACCACAAAAUGGGUUUGGCACCUGUGUCUGCCCGGAGCCGAAGUUUCGGAGUUGUGUUAUCACGUGGCCCGCUGACCCCAGGAGAGCAGGGCUGACCUUGUCUUACACACAGAAGUCUAUUGCUAUGACUCCCCUGAGAGCACAAACCAGCUGCAAACUGCUGCAAUGAUUAACCCUUAUGUGUUGUAGAUGUAACAUCGAGUCAUGGUAAUAAAGCUUUCACUGCAUAACGGAUCUCUUGCUUUGUAAAUUGUUGCUCUUAUCAGCUGCACUGGAGGAUGUUAUCCCUUUCCUGUGAAGCAUGACUGCUGUGUUGUUCACUGGAAAGGAGACCAGAUCUGUAGACUCGGUGAUAUUUAUUCAAUUGCUUUGAGAACAAUACAGAGAAUAAAUACACUUUGUUUAAGCUAAAAAUGCAGUGUGUGGAAACAAAAAACCCCAUGAAAUACUCAUACAUAUGAAACAAUAUAUUAAUUAAAAUCCAGAACGCCUGUAGCAGAUUUGAAUCUGGGAAUGCCAGAUUUGCUGUAACAGACAACUGUGUUGUUCUGUUGAGUCCAGGCUCCCAUUUGUGGAAGUAAUUUAUACCCAACAUUUUGUAAAAAUGCAAACUUCCAGCCUGGAAGAGUUAACUGGGCAAUUACAGAGUUUUGCUGUUUGGCUGGAAACAGACUGUAGCGAUCAGCACUCACAUCCCCAAAAUAUAAUCAGUGUAAGUCUUAUUUUGUCAUGCACCCCAAACACCAGACCCAGUUCUUUGCUGUCCUAUUUGCCCAAGCCAAGGGGAGUUCUGAGUGUGUCUCAGCUAAAAUCCAAACUGCAGGCCCAUGAACAAGGCCCUGCUUCCUCAGAAAUGUGAUGCCUUUUAUCUCAGCGUGCUUCCCACCUUCCAGCCCUUCCCUUGCCAAAUCUGUGGCCACAUCAAGGCUGUGAAAGCAAAGGUGACCUCAGUGUAAGCCCCGGUAUGAUACGAUAUUAUCUGCUUUAGUCUGCACAGAGCCAGAAACACUGUCUGAGAGGUGGAGGCUGUGUGUGUCACGAGGGCUGUCACUGCCCACAGUCACUGUUUCAAGAGGGGCUUUCCAACAUCCCAAGAGCCAAGAGCAAUGAAAAGGAUUUGUUCAAGGUAUCCACCCAUCAAAGCAGCAGCUCUGUGUGGUUUAGAGGCACAGGUUUGUGGUCCUUGCUAUUGCUCUGUCUCUCUGAAGCUCAGAGGUUGGACAGACCAAGAGCAUUGUAGGGCUCUGUCCACAGCUCCCAGGGACUGUUUGUAGGUUUUACACACAACCUUUUUCAAAGGAUAAAACCAGCUUCUGGGUUCAGGAAUUAAGCAAAAAAAAAACCCUUUGGUAUAAACGAUGGGAAAAAUAAAUUCAAUUUAAGGAAACAAAAAUUGUUUUCCCUAAAAAUGUGAGGUCUUAAGAGCUUUGGGAGGGGAUAUUGUGAAAGGCUGUUGUGAAUACACUGUUUGGGAGUGUAGUACACUAAUGUCACUGGUGCAGAUUGAGAAAGGGUAUUGGAAAACUUUUUCAGCUGAGGAGUGACAACUGGGAGGGAAGCUGUAUUGACAAUGGGUUUCCUUGCAAGAUUCCCAGGUGUUCAGAGGGAGCAAGUUAGAGCCCUUUGAUAAGAAGUAAAUUAACACCUCUCUGUGGUCCAUGACUCAUCCCUUUUUCCACACCUUUCAAUCACAUUGUUUCAGCCUGCCUCAAUGAAGCAGAGGAGGAUCUGCAGGAGCAGUGCUUGGGCUGGCCUGGCCAGGGGCUGCACCAGGUAUUUCGUAUUUCUUACCAAGGAAAAAGCUGCUCUGGACUAAUGAUGCUUUGCUGGUUUGUAUCUGGAUUCAUCUGCUUGAAAAACAGCACAGAUAGUUUUACUGCAGAAGUUAGGAUAGACAGGAUUGUUCUUCACUCGUGAGCACAGGGAGCAUUUUCCCACAGGGACAGCAGAUGAAAGGAAUUAGUUUAUUCCUCUUUCCCCAACGCCACCUCCAUAGGCACAUCAGUGCUGUUAUUUUAACACCAACAGCUGUAAUUAAAAAAAAAAAAAAUACUAUCAAGACCUCUGUGAGUCCUGCUACAGCAAAUAUACAUAAAAAGACAGUGACAAAACAUUUAAACUCCAAAACUGGCAGGAACACAGAGAGGCAGUAACUUCACUUACUCCCUCAUCGAGCCCAGCAGCUCCUGUUUUUCUCUGAGUAGCAGCUGUGGUCUCCCAGGUGGAGGCUGUUGGCCUCUGAAUGGAGCAGAAGUUGCCUGUUCCCUCUUUAGUAGGGUGGGGAAGGGUCUUUUGGUGAUGGUGUCUUGUGUCCUGCCUGGCUCCUGCUGGUGUGAGAGACUGGUGAGGAGGAGGAGGUGGCAGUAGGUUCCAGGUGCUGUGGGACUCUGUCCUGUCCUGGGGCUCUGCCUUUGGAAGCUGGAGAGGCCCUGUGUGCCCUUUCACAUCUCAUCCCUCCUCUGGCUGCCACUCCUGUUUCCAAGUGUAUCUGUGCACAACAAAAUCUUCAUUGCGUUCAGUCACAGGCGGUCAGCAGAGAAGCAGCCGUGCCAGCUGUGCGAUGGGAACUUUGAGGCGAUGCGAGGAAUAAGAGGGGAAUCCCUUCCCCUUCUCCGGGAUCCUCCAAAUGCCUUUCAAAUUAGCCAGCCCUGAGGAUCAUUGCCAGGCUCCACAAAGGCGUUCCCAAAGCCUGCAGCCAGUAAAACUUUGUGUAGGUAAAAUUAGCUAAAGCCCUUCUGCUGAGACAACAGCCUUUGUUGUCACAUGUGGUAGAGUUCCAGGAUUUGUAACUAUUUUUCAUAAAAGGUUUUCCUGCUGCCCCAGUGAAUGCAUUACGCUACAGUAGCUCUGAAUGGUAUCGCUUAUUUCCUUCAAAGCAGCGGCCGCUUGUUUCUUCAGAGACCUCAAGUCCUUUCAAGGGCUUCAAGGGGGGCAGAAAAAUGUGAUAGCUGAGGGGGGACUGAAUCGCGCCGAUAGAUCUUAUUUUAGCGGCAUCAUCGCCACAGGGCGCGGCCCCUGGGAGCGCGGCGGGUGCCGGGGCGGGCGCUGGCCGGGCCGAGAGGGGCUCAGCCCGAGGGAAAGCCCAGCUGGAACGAGGGAGAGCCGGGACAGCUCGGUGGCCGAGGGGGAAGGCAGAGUAGCGGGGACGCGCCGGGGACGGCUCUCCGUGGGGUGGGCAGCAGCGGCGGCAUCAUCCCGCAGAGCCGCGGCCGGGCCGAGUUUAACUGGGGACUUGUUGGCACCCGGAGGAGCGGGGGGGGCUUCGCCUCCGCGGGGCCCCGCGGGAGAGGAGCCGCUGCCGCCGGCCGUCGCCGCGGGGGACGGAGGGAGCGCCCGCCGCGGGCACCUCCGGGCUGCGG